GAUGAACGCUGACAGAAUGCUUAACACAUGCAAGUCUUUGGCGAAGCUGUGCUUGCACAGCCUAGCCAAGGCGGACGGGUGAGUAACGCGUAAGGAACUUGCCCUGCAGUCAGGGAUAACAGACGGAAACGACUGAUAAGACCUGGUAAAGUCAGGCGGACUCAUGUCCAGCCUGAUGAAAAGAGAUGCUGCAGGAGAGCCUUGCGUCCUAUUAGCUUGUUGGUGGGGUAACGGCCCACCAAGGCGAUGAUAGGUAGCCGGCCUGAGAGGGUGGACGGCCACAAGGGGACUGAGAUACGGCCCUUACUCCUACGGGAGGCAGCAGUGGGGAAUAUUGGACAAUGGGGGCAACCCUGAUCCAGCAAUUCUGUGUGCACGAUGAAGGUUUUCGGAUUGUAAAGUGCUUUCAGCAGGGAAGAAAAAAAUGACGGUACCUGCAGAAGAAGCGACGACUAAAUACGUG
rnacentral:rRNA from 1 species